UUUCUGUCACUAGUGAUGCAAAUGCUUCCCAUAUGCUGCUGCUUCCCUGAGAUUAACAGUGGUCUUUAUCCUACACAUUCCAGAGGGGACUCUUAAACUGAACAAAGGCACAAACUUGGAGAAACAUAUACACCAGGAUGCCUACCAUGCUCUAAGAUAUCUUUCGAGUUGCAUUUAUCACCAACAUUAAAAGCCCAGUCUGGCUUCUGUAUAAAACUGAGAUUUCAGUCCUGAAUAUUGACUUGAUCUCCAGUAUGGGAGAGGUACUGUGGAUUUCACAGGCUGGAUGCUCCUGUCCUCAGACUGAAACCAGGACAUGUUCAUCCUUAAGAUUUAUGCAUUUUGAAAACAACUCAGAAGGUGGCAAGAAGGCAGAGCCUGGAGAAUCAAAGCAAAAAGCAAACCAGCAGGUAUGUUAGCUGCAAGCUUUGUAGUGAAGCAACUAAUUUCAACCUCCCUCUGCAGGUUCACUGAACUUUUUCAAAUGUGACCACUUCUGGCAUGCAAACCCCAAGCAACUUCACUUUGAUUUCAGAUUAGUCUCCUCUAAAGAUUUAGGAAUCAAAGGGGUUUGGAAUCACGACACGAAUUUAAUAUGACAGUUUCAUGUAGAACAAGCCUCUUACUCAGCAUGAUGCACCCAGAGACUCAGCUUCCAUUUCUUCAUUACAUGCUACCCCAUAAGCAUACUGGUUUAAUCCUUGAGGGCAAACACACUGUUUUAACCACCUCUCCAUAAAAAAUGUUCUGCUUUCUUUUCAGAAUGGAGAAAACAUGCAGAAAUGAGGCUUCGACCUUCAUUUUGGAGCCACUCCAUCAGCAUAUUUCCCAAGAAAUACAUUACAGACUAAGCUCUUCCCAGCCUAUAAAUAACCCCAAAAAAUUUAUAUAUAUAGCAGCUCUGGAAGAUCCACUAGAAUAGAAAUUGGCAUAUACAUUGACACCUGUGAAUAUUUUAUAUUACAGCCCUACUUACAGCUCAUUCAGCUCACAAAGAACCAGCCAGAGAGCAGUUUCUAAAUGGAAAAGUUCAGACCAACGUGGAGAGAAAUGGAUGUAGCUCCUAAAACCAGACACUGAUGCUUAAAAGCUUGUAUAAAUGAUUCCCUGAAAAAGGUUGUUUUCCUGCUGCAAGAGCGUUACAGCUCAACAAAAGAUCUCUGAGGUCCUGUUAAUCAGCUUUAAGAGCCAUUAAUGAUGCUCCUCUGAGAGGCUGAGCAGGGAUAGCUGCCUCUCAGUUUUCCUGAGCCCAGAUCAAAUUCGAAGAUAGGCCAAAAAACCCAACAAGCAACAUCCAGCCUUGCACUGAAAAACAGAAGAAAUGCUGUCCCUUGCAAUAAAAUAAAACUUCCACAAGUUACCCAGUUCCAUAAACUUCAUUUCUUUUCUUUAGCAUCAACAGAAGAAAGAUCAAGCUAAUGUUACCCUAUUUUUAUAUGCCUUCAAAUUUCAACAGAAGUUAAUUUUUUCAUUCUCUCUACUUCUCUCCCCAGGCAACGAAAGUCAGCAGCAAGACAGAAAUGUCACAUCCUAAAAAACCCAGUUCUAAACUUCUAGUAUUUUCAUCCACUUACUGUCUUGGGAUUAAACACCAACACUGAUGCUUAAACAAAAAUUCAAGUAAAUAUUGGUAAACAGUCUUCAUGCAGGUUAUGCCACUUUGCUGUGACAGCCAAAGUUAAAGAGUAAAUUUACAGCAUUGAUCAGGACUCUCUCAUGUCCCACAUCCUGAGCUGAUACAGCCUAGAAUAUUCUUAAUUUAAAAAAUAUAUGUGAUCCCACUACUUACCCUAGAGUAAAACUAACCACACUGUGCAACAAUGCAAGCACCUUUCUAGGGACCUGAAGCUGGUUGAUAAACACUUGAUCUCACAAACAAUUUGGUCCUAGUUAUUUCCAAAAUUAUUACUCCCUGUCCACAAAAUGCUUCACUUUGGCAUGGAGCCUGAUUCUGACAUUUAUCUUGUGAUCCCAUGAUCAAACGAGUCUGCGUGCAAACCUCGGUGCACUCAGAGGUUGAGGCAUAAUUUGGUUAAUUUUUUUAAUACUUAAAUGUAAUUCCCAAGAUGCUGGAAUGAAUCAUUUCUAUGUCUGCCUUUAAUAUAAAUCAUAUUUAGGCAGCUGUGCAUUUUCAGAUCUAAACCACCCGUUUGCUUUCAUGCACAUUUGAGUUAUGAUCUCAUUUGUACUGACAGAAAAGAAAGGUUGAAUAAUCUAAUUUAAUCAAGUAUCAGAGACUGAAAAUUCCUUUGCAAAGAGUCUACUUAAUAACUGCCAUCUAAGUCAUCUCAGGUAUUCAACUUUUAUCUGGCACAUAGAUUUUAAGCAUAUGUGAGCCAUAUGCAAAGCAGAAUUUGAUAGUGGGCUGCAUCUCAGCUCCAUGUGAGUCCGGGAAGUGCUACACCCAACUACCACCAUCAGCCUCAUCAUUUGUUUUGGACCCUGGAUAAACUUUGCAUUGUAUUAACAGGAUUCUUCGUGGCUGCAAAUGCUGCCUGCUUAUGGUACCUACCAAUAACAGUACCACAAUGAGGUAAGCUUGUACCUUGCCUUCCUCAAAACAUUUGGCAAAAUCACUGUCUUCACAUUCCUCUUUUUCUUGAAUUUCUCUCCCACAUCCCCCAUAGAAAAUGCUUCCAAGUACUGGGGGCAGAUGGUGGCUCUCUGGAAUAACAGCCUCACCUUAUCCAAGGUUUUCUGAGUCAAGAGAAAAGCCUCUACCGGUUUUAAUCACCUGUAGGCCAGCCCUGAAGGUGUAGCCAGGUACUGUAUGGAAUUUUUUCACUAAUCAGCUUCCUAGAGUCAAGGAUCACAUGCACUUGGGCAUGCCUAUGGUCAACUUGCCUCUGUCUCUACUUAGGUGUGGGAAAACGCUGCCCUGAAAGGCUGUUUACAGCCUGUGAUUGAGGCAUAACAGCAAAUAGCACCCCUGGAUGAACCUGGGAGGACAGCCAGGCAUGGAGGAGGGUGUGAAAACAAUAAAUUGUUGUUUCUGUAAAAAAAA